rnacentral:miRNA from 1 species
UUAAAGCUACCAACCGCCUUCA